rnacentral:tRNA from 3 species
GGAGAGAUGGCCGAGUGGUUGAUAGCUCCGGUCUUGAAAACCGGUAUAGUUCGCAAGAAACUAUCGAGGGUUCGAAUCCCUCUCUCUCCU